UAGGGAAUCUUCCACAAUGGACGCAAGUCUGAUGGAGCAACGCCGCGUGAGUGAAGAAGGUUUUCGGAUCGUAAAGCUCUGUUGUUGGUGAAGAAGGAUAGAGGCAGUAACUGGUCUUUAUUUGACGGUAAUCAACCAGAAAGUCACGGCUAACUACGUGCCAGCAGCCGCGGUAAUACGUAGGUGGCAAGCGUUGUCCGGAUUUAUUGGGCGUAAAGCGAGCGCAGGCGGAAUGAUAAGUCUGAUGUGAAAGCCCACGGCUCAACCGUGGAACUGCAUCGGAAACUGUCAUUCUUGAGUGCAGAAGAGGAGAGUGGAACUCCAUGUGUAGCGGUGGAAUGCGUAGAUAUAUGGAAGACACCAGUGGCGAAGGCGGCUCUCUGGUCUGCAACUGACGCUGAGGCUCGAAAGCAUGGGUAGCGAACAGGAUUAGAUACCCUUGGUAGUCCAUGCCGUAAACGAUGAGCGCUAGGUGUUGGGGACUUUCCGGUUGCUCAGUGCCGCAGCA
rnacentral:rRNA from 1 species